UGCCUAAUACAUGCAAGUCGAGCGCGGGAAGCGAGUGGAUCCCUUCGGGGUGAAGCUCGUGGAACGAGCGGCGGACGGGUGAGUGACACGUGGGCAACCUGCCUGUAAGAUCGGAAUAACCCCGGGAAACCGGGGCUAAUGCCGGGUAAUAMUUUCUUUCGCAUGAAGGAAAGUUGAAAGAUGGCUUCUUGGUAUCACUUACAGAUGGGCCCGCGGCGCAUUACCUAGUUGGUGAGGUAACGGCUCACCAAGGCGACGAUGCGUAGCCGACCUGAGAGGGUGAUCGGCCACACUGGGACUGAGACACGGCCCAGACUCCUACGGGAGGCAGCAGUAGGGAAUCUUCCGCAAUGGACGAAAGUCUGACGGAGCAACGCCGCGUGAACGAUGAAGGUCUUCGGAUCGUAAAGUUCUGUUGUUAGGGAAGAAAAAGUACCGUGCGAAUAGAGCGGUACCUUGACGGUACCUAACGAGGAAGCCCCGGCUAACUACGUGCCAGCAGCCGCGGUAAUACGUAAGGGGCAAGCGUUGUCCGGAAUUAUUGGGCGUAAAGCGCGCGCAGGCGGUUCCUUAAGUCUGAUGUGAAAGCCCACGGCUCAACCGUGGAGGGUCAUUGGAAACUGGGGAACUUGAAGAC
rnacentral:rRNA from 1 species